rnacentral:rRNA from 1 species
AUUGAACGCUGGCGGCGUGCUUAACACAUGCAAGUCGUGCGGUAACAGGCGUAGCAAUACGUGCUGACGAGCGGCGAACGGGUGCGUAAUACAUGGGAAUCUGCCCUUUAGUGGGGAAUAACCCGGCGAAAGCCGGGCUAAUGCCGCAUAAGAUCUUCGGAUGAAAGCGGGGGAUCGUAAGACCUCGCGCUGAUGGAUGAGCCCAUGUCGGAUUAGCUAGUUGGGAGGUAACGGCUCACCAAGGCGACGAUCCGUAGCUGGUCUGAGAGGACGGCCAGCCACACUGGGACUGAGACACGGCCCAGACUCCUACGGGAGGCAGCAGUGGGGAAUAUUCCACAAUGGGGAAACCCUGAUGGAGCGACGCCGCGUGCGCGAAGAAGCCC